rnacentral:lncRNA from 1 species
UUUUUUUCUAACAGAGAGGGGGAAAAGUUGUUUACUUUUGCAGACAGCUACAGCUAACAAUAGGCUAGCUAGUAGGUACUAGAUUCAUUACAUUUUGGUAAUAAUAAUUAUAGCUAGUUGGCUAAGCUUUCAGCAGCAUGGAUAUCUGAAAAUGGCUGAGCACUGUCAACAGCAAAAAAUCUGAGGACCACCAUGUCAAGAGCGAUGCCAAACUCACCGACCAGCCUGCAGCAGGCCCAACCACCAAGGUUGAGGAGCCUAGCAUCAAAUCGAAUACCCGCCCAUCCCCCAGGCUGCCUGCUAACCAACAAGAUUGAGAAGGGCCUAACACUAGCAGCACGAGUGUAACAUCAUAACAAGCACCUGCACCUCCGUUACCCCAGACACCAGCGCCUGACGACCUGUUGAAUCUAACAAAAACUGAUCGAAUGGAAGCAUAGUUUAUUGUGGCUCGCAGCCUCACACAUUCUUGGAAAGUGAAAUCGACACCACAGCCAGCAACAACAAAUGGACCCCACUCGGUGUUCUUCAAAGAUACAGCGGCCCUUUGUCAACAAUGCUGACUGUGCUGACAAUGCUGAAACAUUAUUAGCAUUUUUGGGGCAUCUACAACAAUGUGUGAAAAUUCGUUCUCCACCCUGAACAACAUACUCAGUGAACACAGACUCUGAACACAGAGCAUGCUACAUCAACGAAAAGCCCAGCUUGUCCAGCUGGCAUUUAAGAGGGACCUGACAAGUACAUUUCGCCAGGAAGGAGAAUAGAAUUAUAAACUUCUCAUGAGGAGCAUCGAGGAGGCUGCAACUCUUCAAAAUGGAAAGCUACAACCUUUAUGGCCCUUUUUUAUUCAUUGGUUUCCUCGCAUGUACACCUACUGGUUCUUUGGGUCAUUUUUGAAUGUAAUGCAUAGUUUAGUCCUUUGCUUUGUACUUCAAUGCGUCUUUUAGAUUUAUCUCUGAUUCUUAAUGUCAUUAGGCUACUUGCUUUUGCGGGUCUAACUGCCAUUGAAAGAUAUACACCUUUGAUAUAAAAUAUUGCGCAUCUGGAGAAGUGGCUAUUUGUGUAGUGUCACAAAUUCGACAGCAAUGUAGCCUCUAAUUAUUGAAGUUUACGCUAUGAAGCCUGUAAGAAUCUUUGAUAGCCUAGUGGUGCUCAUUCUGUUGAGCUGAUCUGUGCGUGUUGGUAGGCGCGUACACUUGUAUGUAGUAGUAUCUUUUUGGUGUUAUUCUAUAAAACAAUGGCUGUUGACGUGUACGGCUAAAUUUCAUAUACAUUUUUGUACAUUUGAACAUUAGUAGGACCAAUCUACCUUGUUUUAUUAGAGCUCUAAAGCAAUACUAGUUGUGCUUCCAACAUGUAUUUAAAAUUCCCCCUCAGGUAUGUUAUCCUGAAGCCGGGUCUGCCUCCACUGAACUUCCUCAGUUUAGUUUCCCAGACUGACAGUGAUUCACCCAAGCAUCCGCUAUUACUUUUAAUGGCCUCAGUAUGAUGGGACCUAUACACUGAGUGUACAAAAAAUUAGGAACACCUUCUCUUUCCAUCACAUAGACUGACCAGGUGAAAGCUAUGAUCCCUUAUUGAUGUCACCUUAAAUCCACUUCAAUCAGUGUAGAUUAAGGAUUUUUAAGCCUUGAGACAAUUGAGAUAUGGAUUGUGUAUGUGCACCAUUCAGAGGGUGAAUGGAUGGGCAAGACAAAAGAUUAAAGUGCUUUUGAACAGGGAAUGGUAGUAGGUUCCAAGCGGACCGGUUGAAGUUUGUCAAGAACUGCAACGCUGCUGAGUUUUUCACGCUCAACAGUUUCCCAUGUGUAUCAAGAAUGGUCCACCACCCAAAGGACAUCCAGCCAUCUUGACACAACUGUGGGAAACACUGGAGUCAACAUGGGCCAGCAUCCAUGUGGAAUGCUUUCGACACCUUGUAGAGUCCAUGGCCCAACGAAUUGAGGCUGUUCCAAUGGCAAGACAGGUUGCAACUCAAUAUUAGGUAGGUGUUCCUAAUGUUUUGUACAAUCAGUGUAUAUGUAACACAAUAAACAAAAUAACUUUAUGUAUAAUCAAAUUGCGAUUAAAUCAAUUUGUGGUCCAUAAAAUCAUAUUCGUCGCCAAACCCACUGGCUCCAGGUCAUCUAUAAGUCUUUGUUAGGUAAAGCCCCGCCUUAUCUCAACUCACUGGUCACCAUAGAAGCACCCACCUGUAGCAUGCGCUCCAGCAGGUAUAUUUCACUGGUCACCCCCAAAGUCAAUUCCUCCUUUGGCCGCCUUUCCUUCCAGUUCUCUGCUGUCAAUGACUGGAACGAACAGCAAAAAUCACUGAAGCUGGAGACUAAUUUCUCCCUCACUAACUCUUAAGCAACAGCUGUCAGAGCAGAACACUGCACCUGUACAUAGCCCAUCCAACUACCUCAUCCCCAUACUGUUAUUUAUUUUAUUUAUUUUGCUCCUUUGCACCGCAGUAUCUCUACUUGCACAUUAAUCUUCUGCACAUCUAUCACUUUAGUGUUUAAUUGCUAUAUUGUAACUAUUUUGCCACUAUGGCCAAUUUAUUGCCUUUACCUCCCUUAUCCUACCUCAUUUGCACACACUGUAUAUAGACUUUUUCUAUUGUAUUAUCGACUGUAUGUUUGUUUAUUCCAUGUGUAACUCUGUUGUUUGUGACGCACUGCUUUGCUUUAUCUUGGCCAGGUCGCAGUUGUAAAUGAGAACUUGUUCUCAACUAGCCUACCUGGUUAAAUAAAGCUGCCAGGCAGAACCGUGCCUUUCUUAUCAGGCUGUGUGGUGCAUGAC